AGAGUUGAUCUGGCUCAGGACGAACGCUGGCGGCGUGCCUAACACAUGCAAGUCGAACGGACGAGGGGAGCUUGCUCCCCAAGUUAGUGGCGGACGGGUGAGUAACACGUGAGCAACCUGCCCUUCGGAGGGGGACAACAGUUGGAAACGACUGCUAAUACCGCAUGAAACAGCUGGGAGGCAUCUCCUGACUGUCAAAGAUUUAUCGCCGAAGGAUGGGCUCGCGUCUGAUUAGAUAGUUGGUGAGGUAACGGCCCACCAAGUCGACGAUCAGUAGCCGGACUGAGAGGUUGAACGGCCACAUUGGGACUGAGAUACGGCCCAGACUCCUACGGGAGGCAGCAGUGGGGAAUAUUGGGCAAUGGGGGGCAACCCUGACCCAGCAACGCCGCGUGAAGGAAGAAGGCUUUCGGGUUGUAAACUUCUUUGACGAGGGACGAUAGUGACGGUACCUCGAAAACAAGCCACGGCUAACUACGUGCCAGCCGCCGC
rnacentral:rRNA from 1 species